rnacentral:tmRNA from 2 species
GGGGGCGUACAGGCUUUCGACGGGGAUUUUGAAGUAUGUCAAGCGAGCAGAGGCGGACACCUCUAUAAAAGUCCAUGUUUAUUAAAUAUAAACGCUAAAAAUAACGUUACAACCGUAAAUUUCAACAACGAAAUGGCGGUAGCUGCUUAAUUUAAAGCAGCUGUCCGGCUGGGGAGGACCACGGCUUUAGUUCGGGCAUCAUGAAGUGGUGAACGUCAGGCAGGAGCGUCUCGUACUGCCGAUGAAUCAGAGUCUACCGACCAAGUGCGCCAGUUUGCCGGUGUGCUUGGAAGGAAAACUGCCGUAAGGCGAAAACGGUAAACUGCGCUCGGAGAAAGAUGUAUGGAUGGAUUUUCGGACAGGGGUUCAAUUCCCCUCGCCUCCACCA